AACCGCAUGGUAAAAUCGAUUAUCCCGUGCGAUCGUGUUAAGUCGACCACACAAGAUAACCGAUUAUCCCGUGCGGUC
rnacentral:pre_miRNA from 13 species